UAAUUUUGACAAUAAAUGCAAAUCAUUGACAGCAAAAUGAACAAAGACAGUUUCAAGCAGAAAUCGAGACAACUGAGGAAAGCAAAUAGACUCAAUACCGACAAUUGCAACAAACAAACUCAUUAUGAAAUUGACUCUCACACAUGAAGAAUUUAUUAAAUCAUUCAUAGGCAAACAAAUGUCGAACCAACAGUAAGACUCAAUUCGAGCAGGAAAGAGAUAUCUGAUCGUCGAUAACAUAUAGCAAAAUACAAAGGGGAUUUCUGAGUUUACAUCUUAGCUAAAAAACAUGUAUAAGUUCGGGUACAGAGCAGUAACGAAUUCAGAAGAACACAGCUUCGACUUCAGAAAUCGAAAUCAGACUCGACCACCCAUGAGAUGUAGAAGUAAUGCAGGAGAAAUCGAACUGAAUUUAAAUUCUUCGUGGUUCUUUUAUUUACUUUUUUUUUGUUUUUGAAGCUAAAAUUUCAGACCUCACAGCUGAAUUUGGAGUGCUAUUUUGAAUGUAAAUAGGGAGGAGUUUGUUCUUGAGAUAGAGUUGGGGGAAUCUGGGACAACUGACCUUUGAGGGUGGGAAACCGCUUUGUGUCUAU
rnacentral:lncRNA from 1 species